rnacentral:rRNA from 1 species
UACGUAGGGUGCGAGCGUUUGUCCGGAAUUACUGGGCGUAAAGAGCUCGUAGGUGGUUUGUCGCGUUGUCCGUGAAAACUCACAACUCAAUUGUGGGCGUGCGGGCGAUACGGGCAGACUGGAGUACUGCAGGGGAGACUGGAAUUCCUGGUGUAGCGGUGAAAUGCGUAGAUAUCGAGAGGAACACCGGUGGCGAAGGCGGGUCUCUGGGCCGAUACUGACGCUGAGGAGCGAGAGCGUGGGGAGCGAACAGG